CUACCUCUUUUUGCUCAAGAAUGAGACAUUGAACUGAUCUGGAAGGUAGAAGAUUGGGGAAAUUUUCCUUGAAUUCACUGGAGGGCUUCUGUUACUGAACAAGCACAGCAGCCCUGAGCCAUCUUUCAAUAACCGCCCAUCUGAGAGAGCAGGAUGAGCAGCCUGAGCCUUGGCCUGUGGCUCUUUGACUCAGCAGCCUCCCACCACAUGGCAGUGCCUGCCUAGGCUGGCUUCCACCAUGAUGAGCUCCUACCACAAUGUGCCACCAGAGCCAACCAAUCAUGGAUCGGAGCUUCCAAAAUG